UUUUUCUUUUUAUAAGGUCUGAGUACCUCAGUGACAAAACAUGGACUGGUCAUAAAGUAAACAGAGCACAACAGAGAACAUUUAAAAACCUGGAAGCCACUUAGCAUCUGCCAUUCCCAAAAUGUCCUAAAAUUAUUUCCCUCAGUCAUCUGUUCUCUUCCGGCUACAGCUUUAUGCAUGUCCUUGGCUCCAUCUCAGGGCUCUGGUUUUUAUGAGGUCAAGUGUCCAGGGGGAGAUCCUGGUGAGGAAGAGAAUAAACCCAUGAACAUGUCUGGCUGACAGACCAGCGUUGCCACAUAAGGCAGAAAGCAAGACUUUAUCACAAGGAAGCCAGGUGUGGUGGCACAUGAGGUCAUUCCAGUACCUAAGAAGCUGAGGCAAGACUAUCGAGAGCUCAAGACCUGCCUCAGUUACACAGUUAGAUUGAGGCCACCCUGGGCUACUCAAGAUUCUGUCUCCAAAACAAACAGCUGCAGCAGCAGCAGCAGCAGCAGCAACAACAAAAUUCCAAACAAUACUCCCCACACCCAAGAAGCUUGACUACAGUGAGUUAGGAACACGGUAGUUUUCAGUGGAUCCAGGAGUUGAGAAGACAAACAGGUUGGAGUAACCCACGAUGCGGCCCCCAGCUUGGGCAGGGGACCUUUUAGGGAAGUCUAAAAAAACCACACACGCAUCUCAGACUCCGACUAGUGGAGAAGAGACCAGACGAGAGGAGUGCUGGAAAGAUGAGAACAGGAGACCAUUUUGUCUGUGAGUGUCCUUCUGGGCAUAGUCCACACUCUUCAGCACGCACUGCAGUUCUAUGAGUUACCCUCAGUCCACAGGAAGUAAUAAACGGAAAACACACGUCGGCGUUACAAGGGGCACACUUCAAUACUUGUUACCGAACUCGUAGGCACCAGUGAAGGCAGAAAGAAGCCUUGGCCAAGGUGUCAGCUAAGCAAACCCCGAGCAUAGAGGAUGUACUGUGCUGGGACUGGACAGCAUAGGGUAGCCUGUCUUUCUUCAAUCUGCCCACACAGAACUGUGUGUCCUUGGAUGCUGAAUCAAGGAGAGAUACUGACACAAAAGAGAUCUUGAAUAAGACCUGUGUUCACAUGGCUACUUUUUGAUCAAUUCAGCCUGGACACGUAGGCGUCUACAAACCUGUACCUUGAUACAAAGUCCCUGCUCCUCUAGGUUAUUUAAUUGAUUGCAAGUCUGUCCUGGGCCUGUUUUGACUCCAGGGUUGUAGAGUUCUUUUUGUGGACCUUGCUUUGGAAUAUCCACGCGAGAGGCUACUUCAGGUCCCAGUAGCUUCUAUCUGGCUUGCCAGAUAACCUCGGUCUGCUGAGAAAAUGACAAGAGGAACUUCAAAGACAAGGAGGAACUCCAGACCCAGGGUACUGAUAAGAACACCUGUCCAACAUGAAAGUCAGGUAAUGAGAACUUCUGCUGACACUGGGCCUUGAAACUACAAAGUCCACAUCAACAGCUAAAACUUCCCUUUCACAAAUCCCUCUUCAGCCCUAUAAAGCCCGAAGCACACACUGGCGGCCUCCACUGCAUGAGAGACAACUGUUCUUCAUUGUUCUCAUUAAAGGAUGGUUCUGCUUCUGUACUGGUCAGUCUGUUUCCAGGUUGCCUGGUCAAUCAGUUUCUAACAGCCACCACUCCUGCGGGCAGGGGAGCCACAUCCAGUGUUGUUGAAAACACAUGCUUACAAUUAGAAGUGCCAGUAGAUUUAGAUUACUCCUCAAGAGCCGUCAUUUGUAUACAGCAACAAAUGAAGUCAUCCCAGAGGCUGGAAGGACACUGGGCCAUACAAAGACCAGAGGGCAUGGCCCCUCAGUGUGAAGCCAUGCUGCACAUAGCCUCAGUUUCCUAGUAGAGGAGUCUGCAGAAGGGUUGUCAGCCCCCCACUCGUGGCUGUUCUUGUAGCUGGGCUCCUGCCCACACAGCUGUAGUAUUUUCUACAUGGAGAAAGGGGGGCUUCCUCUCCAGAGUGCACCUUUCCUUUCCCAGGCCUCAGUGCUCCAGUUUUGGAAACAGAAACAGUUGUUCGCUUCUUGGCUGCUUCUCGAAUCAUCCCUGAAUCAUCGUCCUUUGCCGCCGUACAGAAAAAAAUGCGCACAGGGUAAAGUGAAGUGUUGGGAGGAAGCCUGGACGCUAGGAGAGACAAGUUAACCCUUUCCUCUCCUCACCCCAGUCCCUGGCCGCCGCUGUUUCUUACAUCUAAGAGGUCAGAGUUACUUUAUGGUGGGACUACCCAGGGACUUGGAAGUUCUUCCUUGGGACCAAAGCCAACAGCAUGAACUGGACGAAUGGCUCUUUAUGAUGCGACGGGUUGUGUCCAGGUCUCCCAAGGCAAGUGAUGCUCGACCAGACUCCGAGCUGAUCGCGGGAGGGGACGGUCUGCCCGCAAGUCCGUUGUUGGGUGGUCACCGGAGGCCGAAGCGGGACCGGGGCCGGGCGGAGCCGAAGCCCCGCGGCUAGGCUAGACUAGACGCGUCGGGAGGAGCC
rnacentral:lncRNA from 1 species